rnacentral:lncRNA from 10 species
UGAAGAGGAGUCAGUCAUUUGAAGAUCUGGAAGAACAAACGGAGAGGCCCGAAGGCUGCAAUGAAGUUGAUCUGCUUUUUGGAACGGAUGGAAAGCUCAUGUGAAUAGAGAACAGUGAGAGAGGAUGGAUGGCACAGGAUGCAGUAGGAGAAAUGGGAAGAGUUCUAAUACCCGAUUUACAAUUACAUUGAACUACAAGGAUCCCCUCACUGGAGAUGAAGAGACCUUGGCUUCAUAUGGGAUUGUUUCUGGGGACUUGAUAUGUUUGAUUCUUCAAGAUGACAUUCCAGCGCCUAAUAUACCUUCAUCCACAGAUUCAGAGCAUUCUUCACUCCAGAAUAAUGAGCAACCCUCUUUGGCCACCAGCUCCAAUCAGACUAGCAUGCAGGAUGAACAACCAAGUGAUUCAUUCC